rnacentral:rRNA from 1 species
AUUGAACGCUGGCGGCAGGCCUAACACAUGCAAGUCGAACGAGUGGCGGACGGGUGAGAAAUGUCUGGGAAACUGCCCGAUGGAGGGGGAUAACUCCUGGAAACGGUAGCUAAUAUCGCAUACCAUCGGAUGUGCCCAGAUGGGAUUAGCUUGUAGGUGUGGUAACGGCUCACCUAGGCGACGAUCCCUAGCUGGUAUGUGAGGAUGACCAGCCACCCUGGAACGGAGACACGGUCCAGACUCCUACGGGAGGCAGCAGUGGGGAAUAUUGGACAAUGGGCGAAAUCCUGAUCCAGCCAUGCCGCGUGUAUGAAGAAGGUCUUCGGAUUGUAAAGCACUUUAAGUUGGGAGGCGUUACCAGCAGAAUAAGCACCGGCUAACUUCGUGCCAGCAGCCGCGGUAAUUC